rnacentral:rRNA from 1 species
GUAGGGUCCAAGCGUUAAUCGGAAUUACUGGGCGUAAAGCGUGCGCAGGCGGUUGUGCAAGACCAAUGUGAAAUCCCCGGGCUUAACCUGGGAAUUGCAUUGGUGACUGCACGGCUAGAGUGUGUCAGAGGGGGGUAGAAUUCCACGUGUAGCAGUGAAAUGCGUAGAGAUGUGGAGGAAUACCGAUGGCGAAGGCAGCCCCCUGGGAUAACACUGACGCUCAUGCACGAAAGCGUGGGGGGGAGCAAACAGGAUUAGAUACCCUGGUAGUCCACGCCCUAAACGAUGUCAACUAGUGUUGGGGAUUCAUUUCCUUAGUAACGUAGCUAACGCGUGAAGUUGACCGCCUGGGGAUACGGUCGCAAGAUUA